rnacentral:lncRNA from 1 species
UUUGAGCUGGAAUAUUUUGGACGUCGAGGAAUUCGUGAAUUCUGAGCUGAAAUCGGAUUUGUUGAAGGGGCUAAUCGAGGUUGGUGAUGUGAUGUGAGCAGACCAUCCCCUUACUUGAGGCCUGGUCACGAUCGAAUCAAACUCAUACAGACUGUCUGGCGAUGGGACAUUAGACUGGGAUGGAUGGAUGAGGGGAAGGAGUAAAACAAGACUGAAAUCCUGUUUAAACUAGAGGAUGAUUUCAUAGCAACCCCGUCGGUUGGCCGUCUAUCUGCUCUUCAUCCUUUCUUCUCCCGUCUCUCUGCCAUUCUCUCAGUCACUCUCUUUCCUCCUCCCUCGCAAUGAUGAUGUAGGCAAGCUGAAGACGAUAUGUCAAUACACUUAACCCACCAAAGCUGUAUUCUGACCGAUGUUAAUAUGAACUACACUCUCACGCUGCAAUAUAAAUCAGUUGUAGAUGAUGUGCCCUAAAACUUAGGGCUUCUUUUAUUUUCAAAUGAUCAAUAAACAGAUCUCAAACAUAAAUUUACUUAAUUGCUUGCAGACACAACACUUCUUCGGGCAGGCAAUUGCUUAGUAAAGUCAAUAUGGGAACCCUGAACUUCAAAUAAAAAUGUAAUAUAUAACAGAGUGUGUCAUUUAUUCUGCCGGUGACUAUGUUAAAUAUCAGAGCGGCUCAAUGUUUGUAAACCCUUGGCCAGCCAGUCUCAAAGUACAUCCCCCAUCUCAGGAUGAUAUAGUUUACGCGUUGAACGCCGAAUAGAGCGGACUCAUUCCCUCCAAACUUUACCAUUUUCUAUCCGCCAUGACUGAAAAUAUUUCAGAAACCAUGGGAAUGAGAUUAUAACGAUUCAACGAACAUUGCGAGAAGUUUGAGAUGAGAUACCAGUGAGUAGGGUAGCACUGGCGCACUCAGGGCGUGGCUGGAUUGGCGCCACCCUGAGGUGCGAUGUGGGUGCAGCUCUGUGUUUUGGAGGGUUAAUAAUGCGUGGUGGUGAUGGCAGCAUGGUGUUUAUGAUGGAUCACCGUAUGGGGGAGACAGACGACCAAAGGUUAUCGCGAUACCACGAAAAAAGCGCGCCAAGAAUGAAAGAAUUGGAAGACACAAUGGGGUCAAAGGACUCAACCUUAUCUUUAAGGAGAGGAAUCAGCUUCUUUUUAAUUGCAGACGAAACGCGAAUGAGUACCACCAUGACGUCUCGUUGUGAGCAAUACAUAAUUCGUAGGUGUAGUUUCUGCUAUAGAUUAUCUGGGUUAAGAAUAAAUCCGUAACAAGAUGCAAUUAUUCAGAACAAAAUCAAAUUCACCUGCAAUUCAAUUUUGCUCAAAAGUAUGAGAAAUUAAUGCUUUUCCAAAAUGAAUUAAAUGUAUCUCGCAACCUAAAAUAUCUCCUUACAUUAUCAGAAAAACAUAAUCAAAACUACAGUUUUUUAAUAUAUUUCAUCUCAUAUUUUAAAUCUUCUGCCUCUUCUGUCAAGCACAGUUAUCUAAAUAUAUUGUAAUGUAAAUUAGAAAUCAAAUAAUAGUUAUUCGUAAAGCAAAACAAUGCAAACGGAUCUGAUACCAAUUUAGUUUUUUCUUCAUAGUUUUUGUUUAAUUAUAAUGGCUAUGUAUACGUCCCGCCACACAGCAAUAGUUCUGUAAUUUUGUGAGCAUAUACAUUCCCGCUUCUUUCCCCUUAAUUCCUUCCAUAUCUCCCUUCCUUCAUAAUUUGCAUCGUCACUGCAUAGUCUGACAGAGAUUAAUAUGUCCUAUAGCAUGUUAGUCAUUGAGGUCCAUACGCUUCUAACCAUACCCCGUCUAGUUAAACAUUAACUAGACUCCCACAAUGGCAUGCUAUUCGGGUUCGAAGGCCACAUAGAUAUCGCCAUCGACCGUUGCUAAGCCGCCAUUUUGGAUUUCACCUGUUUUUCCUCUACCUCCUUCGUAGUUUCUUCUACGAUACUCCAGUAAUUAUAUUCACGGUAAUAAAUUUACACGAUGGAAGAGUUGAAAAUGGAAUUUGAUAGAAGACUGCUGACUGCUGAAAUUGAGAUUUCAUGUUAAUACUGAUUCUAAUAAACAGUUUACCUGAAAGAUAAGAUUACAACGAGGCUAAGUCGCCAAGUGAUAAUGAAGUUCUUGGAAGGUUGAUGACGAGCUCAUUAACCUGACUACAAUCUUAAAGCAUUGAAAUACCGAGAUCAAUGUAAAAACUGGGUUCUGGCGAAUAACAAUUCGAAUGUUUUUAUUUGAUUUGAUUUGGUAGUACUUAUAAUAAGGCAACACAUUGUUAACUGUUGCCUCACAUAGAAAUACGAUGAAUUGUACUCUGUCAUUUGUGAUAUAGGCCUACUGCAUGUCGGCAUCUGUGAAUUUAGUUCAAAGAACUACACUACAAAAAUAAUGAAGAUUUUAUAAAAACGUGAUAGUAUCACAGUAAGGCAUACUCCGAUACGUAUGUACAUUUAUUGACAUGGCUGGUGUGCUUAUUCUAAUCCACUAGUUUGCCAGUUUGCACAAUUAUUAUCACGAUUAUCCAAACAUUAAGACUGAGUUUUACCAUCAUGGCCUUUUUGUCUGUGAUUGCUGUUUUCACCAUACAAGGAUAUCUGUUUCAAUUGUCACAGCAUAUAAUCUUCAGAAAUCCCCUCUUGUAAAGUUUACCUACAAACAACAGCAAUGAUGGUUAUUAAAAGACCUAAACACAGAGCCAUCAUGAUCAUCCCACAUUGAGUGUAAACACUUUUUGCUUCCUACAUGGGAACGUUUUCUCAGAAAGCAUCAUAAUAUCAUUAAACAUGACGGAAGAUCCUUAAACAAAAGGGUCCUAUAAGUGAAUGGCCUGUGAACUCCAAAAUAACUACCUUCGAUCAACGAGAUGUCGAUGACCUUCUGAUGUUGUGACGUCACUUUGUUUUUGGCGCGAUUAAUAUGUUUACAUUUUUGGGUCGUCUGCGUUCUUCGGCCACAUGAGCGUUUGCGCAGCAACCAACCACCUUCCAUGUAUGAUCAAGUCAUUGUCUCAUAUAAACACGAAGAGAAGAGAAGAGUCAACUUCAUCCAGUUCAGCCUUUGUUUGUCAAAAGAACCCAAACCACUUCCUUGGGUCAAGAACCCUAAACCUUGACAGCAAAUCUUGGCAUUAUUCGUCAUCACCAGGCUUCAGGCUUCGACGCAUGGUCAAUAGCGACACAAUUAUAAACUGUCUGCAGUAUUCAAUGCGUUUAUUUUUAUAUGUUUGUGUUUAUACUCGUCUUCUUUUCCAGAAAACUGUCUCUCACCUUAGAAGGUUCCUUUCAAUGUUUUGGUCUAAGUGGAAAGCUUAAUGGUUGGUCAAGUUGCCUGUAGACAUCAUGUACAACAGUGAUUAUCUGUAUUUUGUUGAUAUGGUAAGCAGUGAACAGAUCCAAAGUAUUACGUUGUGAAAUAAUAAGAGAAAGGGAAUGUUAUUGAAAAGAAGGGCAACACAAUUAUGUAUAUAAAAACAACUAAGUCAAUUCAAUUUAAUUUGAUGGACUUUAAGAAUGAGAGAAUGAAACAAUCAGGUACAUAAACUAUUCUAAAUAGAACGUACCACUUAAAUGGAGGGAAUGUCGAAUUUUAGAAAAACCGUAGCUUUAAAUUACACUGGUUUAAACAUAUUUAGAGGCAUAACGAGGUCUUGUAUAUUGAAAUGAAUGCAUAUAAACCAUUUUACUCUAAACAUAUUUCAUGAAUAAAGACAACUAUUAUUAAACUACAAAUAAACCAUUAACUUGAAUAAAUUUACAUUAUCACUGUAUCUAUUUAUAUUUGAUAAAGCACUCAGUAUCAUUGCUUACUCAGAUUUUGACUUGGUAAACACAAGCAGUAAAUAUAGAAAUAUAUAUUCUCAUAUUCUCAACAGAAGGGAAUUUAGUAGAAAAUUACAUGUUUGCACCCAUUUUAUCGGAAAAAAGGAUAAUUCGCCAUCAAGGAAACUCUCUAAAAUAUAAGUUAUGAUCUGCAAAGAGUGCACCCGACGUGUACCUGUAUUUUGCAUAAAGCAUGACCGUGUAAUUUUGGUCAGUUUACCUUAUUGCUGCAUUAUAAUCCUGUACGUAUACCUCCUGUGCAAGGGUUGGUAGGAUGAAGAGUUGAAUAAUUAUGCUAAUUAUAAGCAAGGAUGAUCCUGGAUCCCUGUGAGAUCCUAGGAGGGUUAAACCGGAAGCUGGGAUGGUAACUUUGGCGAGGUCAACCAGGUUGGUAGGGCCAUUCUCUCGUCUCGCGGGGCACGAGAAGCCGGAAACGAGAAGUGUUUGGGGAAGUCUCGGAUGUGUUGUUGGGAGGAGCGAGGCGGGGAGGCAGAGGAUUGGGAGCUGGACGUGAUGGGAGGGAUGGGAUAGGAGAUUGGUGGAUAGAUAACGAACAAAAUAUGAAAGGACACGAGUAAAUGGUAUAAGUUCAGAAAGAAGGAGAAGAGGACAGAGAGACAGAGAGUCAGGGAGGGAAAGAAACGGAUCAAGAAAUACACAGGAAUAGACAGAGAGAUAGAGGGAGAGAGAAAUAGAAAGAAAACGGGAACUAAAUACGAAAAUACACACGUAGCCAGGUAAUUUCUAAAUGAUAUAAAAAGAUGGAGAAAGAGAGAGAGAUGAGGGGUGUCGAGGUGGCAGAUGUAUGAUGAGUAAGAUAGAGAAACAGAGGGACAAAUAUUAGGAGAAAGAUAUUCAUAAUUAUUCAAGCAUUUACAUUUGGUAGCAGACUACAUUACGAGUUUUAUCUGGCAGCCCUGUGUUUUGUAGACAAUGUAAAUUGUAAAUUGACCCCUCCCCAUUUGGCCUUCAAACAUAGGGUGUACAUAAGCUUCUAUCUAUUGACGGAUCAACAUAUGGUCAGAAAUGUGGAUAACACGACAACAAUGAAGACAGAAGGUGCAUAGCCUUUUUAAACAAAAUACAUGUAGGUUCCAUGUAAGGAGUAUGAUAUUCAUCAUACAUGGGACGAACGUAUAGUCUAAAAUGGCUGACUAUAGGUGGUAUAUUCGGGCCAACGUUUUACCCAUCCCAGAAUGUUUACCCAUCGAAUAAAAUAGAAGAUGCCCAGCUCAUCUUCCACCAACGGAGGCCGUUGUCAUGGUAACCGCUUCACGGCUCCAGCCUAAAGAUAAUCGAAGGUUGUGAUGAAACGAUAAAGAACCACUGACUUUCUUUGAUGAGACUGAAUACUUCUAGACGUCUUACUACUUCCAAGACAAAAGCGGUAGGCCCAAUGGAGAGCAUAUAGCAAGUCAUAUACGACGAAGGUAUUGUACAAUCUAAGCGUCUUUAAAGGCCAUGUAACAGUGAAUAAUGAGAAGAAGAAUAUAUUCUCAAACAUAAGCAACAUUCCAAGCUGACUGACCAUGACGGAUUUAUGAAAAAUGAAAGAAAAAAAAAACGAAUGAAAUAAACUAAAUUAUACAAUUUAAAAAAGAAUACGUUAUCUACCAUCAUCUCAUUUUUCUUUCGGCGUUAGGCAGAUAACUGGAACCUGAAACGAAUCUGUUUCCACGCGAUUCAAAACACUAUCUUAUCAAAGGUUACAUUGAUUGAGGAUAUUAAGAUCUAAUCAAAUUGUGGAUGUGGUGAAAUAAGUAUUCAAAUCAUUUGAUAGUUAUCAUGUAAUGCAUAUAUUGCAAGUUGUUCGUUCGAUCACGUGGUUGCCAGCUCAUCUCAAGAUCAAUCAUACAGCUUGUUGAAAGACGAAUCUUCCAUGUUAUCACUGUUAUCUAGUUUGUUCUAAGCCUUCACUUGGACCUUGUGGACAUGGUAGAUGUUGCAAGUACUGCACUUGGAAUAAAUGGUCGAUGGUUUGCAAUUAAAGCAACUGUUAGGUUUAAAGAACAUCAUGUUAUCUAUCAUGUCUACCCUGGGUCCUAUGAAAUAUGAUAAUCAAAAUUGGGCAUUGAGGCUAGCCAUUAUUCACUGAGCAUUAUGCAAUAAUAUUUAUAAUUAAUUCGUGUGCUGUGUUUACUGCUUGAAUGACUGUAGGAUUCCCAUACCAUAGGCUCACGUUUUAAAGUAUCACCAUGACAUGUGACCUUCAUAUCUAGCUAAAGGAGCCCCCCUCCCUCCCCUUGUCACUCGAACCAUUUUUCAUUUUUAUCACCGCUGAACUUGAGAAUGAGGGAUUCUCUUCUUUGGAGGGAGGUGCACUGAUGAAUAGGUGAGUUGAACUUUCCUGUCAGGUGGGAGUUUGAUGAGAGGGAAAGGAAAGGGGGAAGCAAAAAAAAAGAAGGGUGGAUCUGAAGGCCCUUUGUAAGACCAGACCUUGUCUCAUUUCCUUGUGAAAUGUUUCUGAGUGGCACUUUAACGUGGUAGCUGCUAUCAGGCCUGGUAGAACUGAGCAAAUUUACAUUACGGACCGGGCAGCUUGGGCGAUGCAUAUCAAGCAGGGUCGGGGAUGAAAAGAACCCUGCUUUUUAUUCUUUUGAAAGAAUGGGAGACAGAGGCAGAGGGAGCGAGAUAGACAGAGAGGGGAGAGAAAGAGAAUGGAGCGACUGAGCUUGAAUGACAAAUAACAUUCAUUUCGAGGUUGGGUGUGAAUAAUCAAAAAAAAGUUGAAGCAUUGUGCACUAAGGGGAGCAAAAAAGUGAGCGAAAGGUCUGAAGGAGAAAGAAGGAGAAGGUACAAGGAAUAACUCUAGGCCAAAGGAAAAUGUAAUGAAUGAAAAGAAAAGUGGUUAUCAACAGAAGAAACUAUUCAUAAGAAAUGCCAUUAAUUUAUUCUAAUUUAGAAUGAGGGUAAUGGGGGUAGUAUGGUACAAAAGAGGAGGUGGAUGAUAAGACGAACGAUGGAUAAAGAGAGAUGGAGAUAGAGACACACACAGAAGAAUAUGAAAGGGAAUUGUAUAGAUGAAAUUGAUUAUAAUAAAAGAGCAAGUUAUGUAUCAAGAUUAUUCAGGUCGCGCCCCUUUGACAUAUUGUUUAUGUUAGACCAUAUAUAGCCGUUGCCUGAUGAUACAGCUGGCAAUCAGAGAGGGAACACUAAAAGAGAUAGCAAAACAUAGAAAAUAAUGAUAACAUAAUCAUAAGCAGUUAAUAUGAAAAGCCAAUUCACCUCAGAAACGUAUCAGCAAACAAAAUAGAACCGCUAUGACUUCCUGCUUUUGUAAUUGUAACUUCUACGAUAUCUGUAAUGUUAGAACUUGAUGCACCCAUCUUCAGUAAAGGCACCAGAAAGACAUUUCUUCUAACAACGCCUACUCACCAAUACAUCAAGAGAAGUAAGCACGGCUUUAAGGUAUUGACAACCAGUCAUAAUAUUAUCGUAUAAUAGAUUACAAAAAAAUAUGUAAAUGUACUGAAUAAAACAAAAUAUAAAUGAUGUCGUGGUAGUUUGUUAUGUAUAUGUCUCCAUUGAAACAAGCUGCCUGGUGAACGCAGCUAAAAUCUUAAUGGUCUUAAAAUACAAAAUUUGAACUAUGCACGUAAAGUAAGAAAGUAGUCAAAAUUAAUAUUGAAAAACUAAAUUAACGUCAUACCAUGCAUUUUAGAGAUUGCAACGAACAAAUGGAAUAUUAUUUUCUUAAGUACUAUUUUCAUAUUAAAAACUAGAUUAAAUAUUCAUUUUAACUCAUUUCAUAAUACGUGUAUAUACCCCAAGUAAUGGUAUUCAUCAUAAUUCCAUUGCUCUUCUAUGGAGUUGUAUAGGUUGACUUUCAGGAUAAUUAAAUAAAAAAUACAACAUUUUUGUUUGGAUAUUUUUAUUUUUUAUUAAAGUUAAUACAAGAACAGCACUUGUUUGCUGCAUUCUAACAUAUUGCGUGCCAGCAGUUAAACGAUAUUAUACAGUCCUGAAGAAUACUUCAUCAAAUAAAACCCCACAUCGAGUGCGACCAAUCAUUUCAGCAAUUACUGCACGCUUUUAAAUGUUACAGGUAUGACCAAUUAACUGCGACGAUGUGAGUUGCGUCUCUACGAUUUUAAGAGACGUCAAGUUUCAUUACUUUGAGUAAUUAUUACCUGCAAUAUCGAGGAAAAGGCGUAAUUAUUUAGAGAGAAAACGAGUACAUGCAGAACGAAAACUUUUCUAUGUGUAAUUUAGUUGUAAAGAAAGCAUAGUGAUGUGUGUUACAAGAUCCAAAUAAAAGUUACCCGUAGUGUAUGCAGAUUUCCAGUCAAAAUUACUUUGAAAAAUCAGAGAACAAAUAUCUGAGAACAAGUAUGAGAACAAAGAUAAACGCUUGGAUAUAAUAAUAUCAAUCGUGACGCAUUUCAUGACGACAAAAUAUGACUUUUAAGAUUGAUAAAUGAAUUAAUGAUUUACCCCAUUUUUGUUAUUUCAGUUUUGUAAAGGAAUAGGGGAAACGACCCUGGAAAUACAUCCCUCCCCCUCCCCCGCUGACAAUUUUUGUCAACCUAGUCAGUAUUUAUGAAGCAACACGCACAAACAAAUCUUAUCAUAAUGACUUUAGUAUUGAUAUGAAAUUAUUAUUAUUAGAUGUGUACUGGUAAUGACGGAGAAUGAACCACAACAGGAUCAAAAUCACGUAGGUGUGGGCAUCAUUGCUGGUUUUGGGUAAUUCCUGAUAAAACUUUUUUUUGUUUUUCUUCCUAAAGCGUGUUAGUCAAUUUUUAUUAAAUGUCAGGUACCUUUGGUUUAAAUUUGAUUUUGCUAAUAAAAUAAAUCAAUUUAUAUUCUAGAUUUCUGUACUUAUGAAUAAUUUUGGGAAAUUAGAAACACUUGACAUAAUUAUGUUAAAAUGAGUGAGAUGGCUCAACAUUUAUAUUUGGACAUUUUUCCUGAAUAUUUGCCAUCCGUUUCUAACGAGAAAGGCAGACUAUUACCGUUGUAAAAACUGGAGUAGAGUAAUUGAAUGGUUUUGAAUGUUUGUUCCAGAUAAACUGGGAAAAAUUAAGCAAACGAAUAUUGGGGGGUAGAGAGAAAGAGAAAGGGGGAGAGAUAGAGAAAGGGGUUUGGGCUGUAAAGCUAACAGGAGCAAACCUUGUAUGAUGGUUUGCCGUGCUUGUUGAAAGGAAUCGUAAUGGCGCAACGGUUUGCUGGCAAAUAGAACCAGAGAAAUGGCCGGUUUGGGUUUCAGCCUAAGAUAUGACGGCCAAAACUUUCAUGACAUUCUCGCAUUUUUCGUCAUUUAUAAAGGCACGAAAAAUUUGGCGAAAGCGAUGUUUUAUCCUCGUAGUUUAAGACAUAUACAUGGACAUGGGAUGUUCCUUACAUAUCUCUGUCCUGUCUCCUUUCACUUGCAAUAUUUUGAAGGGAAUAAUGUGAGGAUGAAAAUGGAUGGAGGGAGAACAAACUUGUCUGGUAGACUUGUCGUAGGUAAGAGCAAACAGUGCAACGUAGUUGACUGUAUGCAUAGCGACUCUGUACACAAUCCUUGCUUCUCUCUACCUCUCCUUUUGGAGGCUGUCAGACGAAUUUAUAACCGAAGUGGAGUGAGAAAAUAGAACCAGCAAAGAAAAGAGAAAAAGGAAGGUGCAAAAUCGCCAUUACACAGUUGUUCUGUCAUCAGUUCCACAUGCUCCAAUAGCUACCCAUUUAGAUGACCAUUUCAUAAACCGAUCAUCCCUGAUACAAUACAUGAGGCGUGGCGACCAUUCCCGCUAGCAGGGAGCUCGAAGCGAACAGCGACCAUCGACCCAGCGGGUAGCUUCUGGCACAGAAGUCACAGAAUUGAUCGAUGGGGUGGUCAGCGGCUUGAACGCUAUUCAUAAUCGCUCUUCUUCGAACAAGUACCAAUCGUAAAUUCCAUCGAGUGAUUUCCAAAUGAAAUAGAUUUAUUGGUCAGUAUUACCACAAGAUGUUCAUGCAUUCAGUAGUACCUUAACUAAAUAUUGAAUUUUCAAAAGUUUUCGAAAUGAGAUAAUUGAAAUGAAAUCGGAGGUCGUGAAGAAGACUUACAAGGAGACAUACGAAGAAUCAGACGUAUUAAAAUGAAGACGAUGCAGAAGAAGAAGGAAAAAAAGAGGAAGAAGAGAAAAAAGAAGAUAAAGAAAGGGAAGAAGGAGAAUACAAAAAUUGUAAAGAGAAUAAAAAGGAAAGGAGAAAUGAACGAGAGAGCCGGGAUAUGACUUUCAAACCAAAAAAGAAGAGAGGGAAAUGCGAAGAAAAAAAGAAAGAAAAUAAGCGGUUUUACAAAGGUAAGUUAAGAAUUUUUAUUAUCAAGAAUCCGUUAGAUGAAUGUGGAUGUAUCAAUGAACGAUGAAAGAAUUGGUAAAUAUAAGUAUAUUGCCAUACGUUUUAAAAUGUGACUAUUAAAAGCAUAGUAACUUCUAAAAUAAAACGAACUUUUCUAUGUUAGAGAUUAUUGUGAAAUGGAUCCAGCAUUUGUUUGCAAAAUAGCACCAAAUGCCCUAUUUUU